AGGUUAAAAUUUUGGUUAAGGGAUUUUAAAAUUUUUAUAACGGGCACUUAAUGAAAACCUUGGUGGAAAACUUUGGACGUGACGCUACGAAAAGUUAUAAGGAGGCAUUUGCUUGUGAUUUAUAAAUUUCCGUAUUUAGAGUAAACUCAUCAAAAUUUUUUGAAAGUAAUGUGAAUUGAAUCAUCUAAGUAACAUUAUUAAAAAAAUCAAUCGAGAGAUCGUAAGUAAUGGUGAAUGAAAGCGAUAUAAGAGCUUAGUAGAAAGUUUUAAUUAUAAUUUACUAAAAAAGGUCAAAGUCCUGUAUUAAUAGAAACUUUUUAUGAUAAAAUUUUUAAGUAGUAUGAACUUUAAUUUGUAUGAAUAAAGGAGAACCACCUUCUAAGCUUUAAAGGUUUUUCAACCAAUAGUGGACGAGUACCGUGAGGGAAAGGUAAAGAAAUUCGAAAAGAGUUAUUUUAAGUUAAGUGUUUUAAAAUUUUCGAAGUGUAAAACGACGAAGUGCCUUUUGCAUAAUGAAUCAGCAAGUUAAUAUAUAUUGCAAGCUCAAUUAGUAAUGAAUAGGCGUUAGAAGUAAUAUAUAUUAGACCUGAAACCAAGUGAUCUAGUUGUAAGUAAGUUGAAAACACUUUAAAAAGUUUUUGAAGACUGUACCCGUAUAUGUGGCAAAAUAUAGGGAUAACUUAUAGCUAGGAGUGAAAGGCUAAUCAAACUUGGAGAUAGCCGGUUUUUCACGAAAUGUAUUUUAGUACUACGUUAAUUGUUAUAAACCUUGAGUUAGAGUACAGAAUGAAUGAAGGGAUGUAAAAGUUUACUAAAUUUUUUUUAACUCCGAAUUAAAGUUUUAUAUAAUUAGCAGACAGUCUAUAAGCGAUAAGGUUUAUAGACAAAAGGAAAACAAUCCAGAUCGAAUACUAAGAUUUCUAAAUUAAGACUUAGGGAAAAAAUUAAAGAAAGUUCAAAUAACAAUUUCGUUAGGCUUAGAAGCAGCCUUUCAUUAGAGAAAGCGUUUCAGCUCGUUAUUUCUCUUUUUUUAAUUUAAAAUGUAUAGAAACUUUAAGUUUUAUAUCGAAGUAGCGGAUUAAUAUAAUUUGAUGGUAGUGAAACACUUUGUGAAAGUUUUUUAAUUGUAAAAUUAUUAAAAAUUAGCAAAGAUGCUAAUGCUGAUAUGAGUAGCGAAAAUUACGUUAAAAAAUCGUAAUCACUUAAUGUUUAAGGGUUUCAAUGUAAUUUUAAAUUCAUUGAGUUAGUCGGUCCUUAAGAGGUGAAUAAAAAUUGUACUCGAUAGGAAAUUAAUAAGUUAUGUUAUACUUUUUAUAUGUGUUAUUAAAACAUGAAAAAAAUAAUUUAAAAAAUUUUACAAUAUCAUUAAUUAGAAUAAGGCAUAAAAUUAAUUUACAUUAUUUUCGGGAAAAAAUUAUAAUAAAGGUAAACCGUACUUAAACCGACGCAGGUAAAUUUAUUGAGAAAAUUAUAAGUGAAUGAAAAAAUUGUAUUGAAGGAACUCGGCAAAUUAACUCUGUAUGUUCGCUAUAAAGAGAGCCCUUAAAAGGGGGUAGCAUAAAAUAAGAAGUAACGACUGGUUAACAAAACCACAGGACUCUGCAAAUUUGUGAAAAGCAGUAUAGAGUCUGAAGCCUGCCCGGUGCUUAAAAAUAAAAAAUUUAGGUUAAUGCUUACUUUUUAAAUCUAGGUAAACGGCGGUUCUAACUAUAAGAAUCCUUAGGUAGCGAAAUUCCUUGGCGGGUAAAUUCCGUCCUGCAUGAAUGGCGUAACGAUUGCUUCACUGUCUCCAAUACAAUUUCAGCGAAAUUACAUUAUCUAUGAAAAUGUGGAUUACUUGCAGUAAGACGGAAAGACCCUAGAUCCUUUACUUUGAUUUUAAAUUGUAAAAAAUUGUUUAAAUGUGAAGAAUAGGUGGGAAUAGCUAUUAAUGUUCUUGAGAUACCACUCGCUAAAUUUAAUUUUUUACUUAAUUUAUAAAUAACAUUAUAAAAGACCGUUUAAAAGAGAAAGUUUACUUGGGACGAGUACCUCCUAAAUGGUAACGGAGGUGUACGAAGGUAAGGGGCAAUUAUUCAUAAUGAAUAAUGAAGAAUAUAAUGGUAUAAACUUGCUUGACAAUAAGAUUUAUAGAUCGAAUUGCGACGAAAGUCCGUCAUAGUGACCCGAUAUUUAAGUGUGGAAUUAAUAUCGUUCAACAGAUAAAAGGAACUCUAGGGAUAACAGAUUCAUCGUGAUUGAGAGUUCAUAUUGACGUCACGGUUUGAUACCUCGAUGUCGACUCAUCUUAUCCUGAAAUUGAAGUAUAUUUCAAGGGUCUAGUUGUUCGCUAGUGAAAAAGGUACGUGAGUUGGGUUCAGAACGUCGUGAGACAGUUCGGUCCCUAUCUACUGUAAGAAAAGAAAAAUAAAAAGUGUAUUCUUAGUACGAGAGGACCAGAAUACUCUAACCUCUGGUUAAAUGAUUGUUGUGCCAAUAGCAUAGUCAAGUAGCUACGUUAGCUUUUAAUAAAUACUGAAUGAAUCAAGUGUAUUAAGUAUUCUUUUAUAUAUUUUUCGAGAAUAAUCUAAAAGAUUAUUAGAUUGAUCGGUUUAAAAAUGUUAUUUAGUAAUAAAUUUUAGUUUUUAUAAAUCCGAAUUAUUCAAAAAAAUUUUAAU
rnacentral:rRNA from 1 species